UACAGAGGUCUCAAGCGUUGUUCGGAUUCAUUGGGCGUAAAGGGUGUGUAGGUGGCGCCGUAAGUCGGGUGUGAAAUUUCGGAGCUUAACUCCGAAACUGCAUUCGAUACUGCGGUGCUUGAGGACUGGAGAGGAGACUGGAAUUCAUGGUGUAGCAGUGAAAUGCGUAGAGAUCAUGAGGAAGACCAGUGGCGAAGGCGGGUCUCUGGGCAGUUCCUGACACUGAGGCACGAAGGCCAGGGGAGCAAACGGG
rnacentral:rRNA from 1 species